GGGUCAGUAGGUUGGUCGUGCCACCGGUACGUACUGGUCUCACUGAUUCCUCCUUCCUGAAGAACCGUAAUGCCAUUAAUUUGGUGUUGCGGGGAAACAGGACUGUUACUUUGAAAAAAUUAGAGUGUUAAAGCAAGCUAACGCUUGAAUACAUUAGCAUGGAAUAAUGAAAUAGGACGAUCGAUCCUAUUUUGUUGGUUUCUAGGAUUGACGUA
rnacentral:rRNA from 1 species